rnacentral:lncRNA from 1 species
CAGCCAAUCUCUCCCCGCGAGGGCGGAGGCGCCGAAAUCAAAGCGAGAGCGCCUCGGCCUCUCCAGCUGUCCGCGGCCUCUGAGCCCAAGUCUGCACGUAUUCAUCCAGAUGGCCUGAAGUAACUGAAGAUUCACAAAAGAAGUGAAAAUGGCCUGUUCCUGCCUUAACUGAUGACAUUCCACCAUUGUGAUUUGUUCCUGCCCCACCUUAACUGAGCGAUUAACCUUGUGAAAUUCCUUCUCCUGGCUCAGAACCUCCCCCACUGAGCACCUUGUGACCCCCACCCCAGCCUGCCAGAGAACAACACCCUUUGACUGUAAUUUUGCUUUACCUACCCAAAUCCUAUAAAACGGCCCCACCCCUAUUUCCCUUUGCUGACUCUCUUUUCCGACUCAGCCCGCCUGCACCCAGGUGAUUAAAAAGCUUUAUUGCUCACACAAAGUGAGUUUGGUGGUCUCUUCACAUGGACGCGUGUGAAAAUUGUGUAUAAAUUACCUGAGGGUUGGUAAUUCAUAAAGAAAAAAGGUUUAUUUGGCUCAUGGUUCUGCAGGCUAAACAAAAAGCCUAGAGCCAGCAUCUGCUUCUGGUGAGGGACUCAGGAAACUUCCCCAAAUGGCAGAGGGUGAAUGGGAGCUGGCAUGUGCAGAGAUCACACUGGAAGAGAGCAGAAGUGAGAGAGAGAAAGAGGGAAGGUGCUAGGCUGUUUUUAACAAUGAGUUCUUGGGAGAACUCUCACAGGAGCCAAUACAAUGAGAACUUCUCAUUACCCAGAGGACAGCACCAAGCCCUUCAUGAGGGAUCGGCCUCCGUGAUCCAAACACCUUCCACCAGGCCCCACCUCUAACAUUGGAGAAUCAGAUUUCACCAUGAGGUUUGGAUGGUCAGAUAUCCAAACUAUAGCAACAAUUAUGUUAUCUGUAAAUAGUGAGAGUUUUCUUUCUUUCUUUUCACUCCAUAUGUUUGUAAUUGCUUUUCUUGUCUAUUGCACUGACAAGAACUCCCAGCACUAUAUUGAAUAAAAGUGGUGAGAGCGAACACCCUUGCCUUGCUCCCAGUCUUAUGAGAAGAGCAUUCAGUCUUCUCUCACCAUUAAGUAUAUUAGCCGUAAGUUUUUUGUAAUCCGGUUUAUCAAGAUGAGGAAGUUCCCCUCUAUUCCUGUUUAUCUGAGUUUUUAAUCAUGAAUGAAUGUUGGAAUUUGUAAGAUGCUUUUUUUGUUUUUUUUUUUU